rnacentral:rRNA from 1 species
UACGUAGGGUGCAAGCGUUGUCCGGAAUUAUUGGGCGUAAAGAGCUCGUAGGCGGCUUGUCACGUCGACUGUGAAAACCCGGGGCUCAACUCCGGGCCUGCAGUCGAUACGGGCUGGCUUGAGUGCGGUAGGGGAGACUGGAAUUCCUGGUGUAGCGGUGAAAUGCGCAGAUAUCAGGAAGAACACCCGUGGCUAAGGCGGCUCUCUAGUACGGUACUGACGCUGAGACGCGAAAAGCGUGGGGGAGCGAACAGG